rnacentral:rRNA from 1 species
UCUGGUUGAUCCCGGCAGAGGUUACUGCUAUCGAGGUUCGACUAAGCCAUGCGAGUCGAAUGUAGCAAUACAUGGCGUACUGCUCAGUAACACGUGGACAACCUACCCUUAGGUCGGGGAUAAACCCGGGAAACUGGGUAUAAUACCCGAUAGAUCUCGACUGCUGGAAUGCAUCGAGAUCGAAAGCUCCGACGCCUAAGGAUGGGUCUGCGGCCUAUCAGGUAGUAGUGGGUGUAGCGUACCUACUAGCCUACGACGGAUACGGGUUGUGAGAGCAAGAGCCCGGAGAUGGAUUCUGAGACACGAAUCCAGGCCCUACGGGGUGCAGCAGGCGCGAAAACUUUACAAUGCUGGAAACAGCGAUAAGGGGACCUCGAGUGCCAGGUUACAAAUCUGGCUGUCGUGAUGCCUAAAAAGCAUUGCAUAGCAAGGGCCGGGCAAGACCGGUGCCAGCCGCCGCGGUAACACCGGCGGCUCGAGUGGUAACCGUUAUUAUUGGGUCUAAAGGGUCUGUAGCCGGCCGGAUAAGUCUCUUGGGAAAUCCAGCAGCUCAACUGUUGGGCUUUCAGGAGAUACUGUCUGGCUCGAGGCCGGGAGAGGUGAGAGGUACUUCAGGGGUAGGGGUGAAAUCUUGUAAUCCUUGAAGGACCACCAGUGGCGAAGGCGUCUCACCAGAACGGACCUGACGGCAAGGGACGAAAGCUAGGGGCACGAACCGGAUUAGAUACCCGGGUAGUCCUAGCCGUAAACGAUACUCGCUAGGUGUCGGCCACGGUGCGACCGUUGUCGGUGCCGUAGGGAAGCCGUGAAGCGAGCCACCUGGGAAGUACGGCCGCAAGGCUGAAACUUAAAGGAAUUGGCGGGGGAGCACCACAACGGGUGGAGCUUGCGGUUUAAUUGGAUUCAACGCCGGAAAUCUUACCGGGACCGACAGCAAUAUGAAGGCCAGGCUGAAGACUUUGCCGGAUUAGCUGAGAGGUGGUGCAUGGCCGUCGUCAGUUCGUACUGUGAAGCAUCCUGUUAAGUCAGGCAACGAGCGAGACCCA